rnacentral:rRNA from 1 species
GACGAACGCUGGCGGCGUGCUUAACACAUGCAAGUCGAACGGAAAGGCCCUGCUUUUGUGGGGUGCUCGAGUGGCGAACGGGUGAGUAACACGUGAGUAACCUGCCCUUGACUUUGGGAUAACUUCAGGAAACUGGGGCUAAUACCGGAUAGGAGCUCCUGCUGCAUGGUGGGGGUUGGAAAGUUUCGGCGGUUGGGGAUGGACUCGCGGCUUAUCAGCUUGUUGGUGGGGUAGUGGCUUACCAAGGCUUUGACGGGUAGCCGGCCUGAGAGGUUGACCGGCCACAUUGGGACUGAGAUACGGCCCAGAAGCCUACGGGAGGCAGCAGUGGGGAACAUUGCACAAUGGGCGGAAGCCUGAUGUAGCAACGCCGCGUGCGGGAUGACGGCCUUCGGGUUGUAAACCGCUUUCGCCUGUGACGAAGCGGGAGUGACGGUAAUGGGUAAAGAAGCACCGGCUAACUACGUG